GAUGAACGCUGGCGGCGUGCCUAACACAUGCAAGUCGAGCGAUUCUCUUCGGAGAAGAGCGGCGGACGGGUGAGUAACGCGUGGGUAACCUGCCCUGUACACACGGAUAACAUACCGAAAGGCAUGCUAAUACGAGAUAAUAUGCUUUUAUCGCAUGGUAGAAGUAUCAAAGCUCCGGCGGUACAGGAUGGACCCGCGUCUGAUUAGCUAGUUGGUAAGGUAACGGCUUACCAAGGCGACGAUCAGUAGCCGACCUGAGAGGGUGAUCGGCCACAUUGGAACUUAGACACGGUCCAAGCUCCGACGGGAGGCAGCAGUGGGGAAUAUUGCACAAUGGGCGAAAGCCUGAUGCAGCAACGCCGCGUGAGCGAUGAAGGCCUUCGGGUCGUAAAGCUCUGUCCUCAAGGAAGAUAAUGACGGUACUUGAGGAGGAAGCCCCGGCUAACUACGUGCCAGCCGCCGCCGUAA
rnacentral:rRNA from 1 species